rnacentral:rRNA from 1 species
GUACAUGCCUACAUCAUAGCUUUAAUGCACUAAAUCCCAUUAGAACUCUACAAUUAAGUGUGAUCGGGCUAGAGUAGUAUUGGGAUGGGUGACCACCCAGUAAUUCCUAAUGUCUUUCAUU